GCGAAAACUUUACAAUGCUUGCAACAGCGAUAAGGGAACCCCGAGUGUCAGGUUACAAAUCUGGCUGUCGAGAUGCCUAAAAAGCAUUUCAUAGCAAGGGCCGGGCAAGACCGGUGCCAGCCGCCGCGGUAACACCGGCGGCUCGAGUGGUAACCGUUAUUAUUGGGUCUAAAGGGUCUGUAGCCGGCCGGAUAAGUCUCUUGAGAAAUCUGGCAGCUUAACUGUCAGGCUUUCAGGAGAUACUGUCUGGCUCGAGGCCGGGAGAGGUGAGAGGUACUUCAGGGGUAGGGGUGAAAUCUUGUAAUCCUGGAAGGACCACCAGUGGCGAAGGCGUCUCACCAGAACGGACCUGACGGCAAGGGACGAAAGCUAGGGGCACGAACC
rnacentral:rRNA from 1 species